AUGUAGACUUCUGWUUACCGAGGGUUCGAAUCCCUCUCUUUC
rnacentral:tRNA from 1 species